AUGGGUCCCAUGCUGCCAUGGCCACUGAGAGAGCUUCGUACAACGAAAACAGGUAUCCUGGUCAGUGAGUCUCACCUAGGGUCUCAAGUCAGCACAGCCCAGAAGAUUUAUAAACAACAGUACAACCCUCCUUGAUAACUACUGGCUAGGGCCUGAGGAUGUCAAAAAUUCCUUAAACCAAGACUAUGGUUAGGGGUCCAUAAUGCAAGGAGGUAGUACUUGAAGUCUCUCUCCUUCCUGUCAUUCAAUAAUCUGCUGGCUAUAGUGAGGUGGAUAAGAACAGAACUCAAAGGCUCAUGUAUUUGAAUGCUUGGUCCUAGUUGGUGAAACUGUACAAAUGUAUAGAGCAGGUGAGUCACUGGGGUAAGCUUCAAGGUUUUCAGAGGACCAUGCCAUUUCUAGUGUGCUCUCUGACUCCUCCUGUUUGCAGCUGGAGAUGUGGGCUCUCAGAUGUUCUUGCUACCAUGCCUUCAUUCUGCCAUUAUGGACUCUAACCCUCUGGAACUAUAAGCCCAAUUAAGUGCUUCCUUUUUUUAGGUUGUCUUGGGCAUGGUGCUUUAUCAUAGCAACAGAUAAAUAACUAAUACACUGGAGUUCUUCACCAUAUAACUGGAGCCAAAAUUCCAGGCCAGUUUUGUCCAAGUAGUGUUAUCCAUUUAAUUGACAUGAUUGCAUAGAACAAACACACUUGUAGAUGUCACACUUAACUUGAAUGUGCUUUAAGCGUUCCAUGGCCAUUAUCACAUAAAACUAACUCUUGUCUAGACCUCAGGUUAUUUCUGCUCACCAAGAACAUCUCUGGGAGAUGUGCAGCAUGGCUCCUCCAUCUAAGCUCCUCUUCUGUAGCUGCAGAAAUGGUGUUGAGCUUAGCCACACUGUCAGCAGCGGGAUUUUAGAAGUAGCUCUGGUGCCCUACCUCAGAACAAUGAGGUCAGCUGGCCCCACACUCCACUCACUUCUCACAACUCUGUACUUCACCUUUACACAACCCUGCCAAGCACUACACUGUGGUCCUCCUGGGGUUGGACAGCAGGUUUCCUCUGCUGCCUAUGCUACCAAGGCUUUGGAAUACAACAGGUACUCAGUGUUUCAAAAUGCACAGACCUACUGUGUGUAAGUUAAAAAUGGAUCCUGUGAGAGAAACUGGGAAAAUAUGGUAUGUGCACUUAAGAACACAUUUGCCCUGGCCCUGUCUUGAAGAGGACUCUGAAAACCAGCUUCUUCAACAAACUUCUUGCUUCCUUUAAACAAGUGAUUACUUCAUGUUAUUAACCAUUCUGUAUGAACUAACAAGAGAAAUGAGAUGCCAAUACACCUGGGCCGGAACCUAGGGUAAGCAUGUGGGCCAGGGCGCUCAUCAUGUGCUGUGUACUAAUGUACACACUUGUCAACAAUUGGCACUUAUGCUUUCUCCACUGUUGAAAUUCUUCCUUUCUUUCUCAUAUCCCAAUUUAAAUAAAACCUAAAUGAAACACUGCUUGUAUCAUUAAUUUCUGUUUCCUACUGACCUGACUGAAUUAGGCUUCCAAAUUAGAAAGUCAUUAGAGAUGAAUUUAUAAAUAUAAAUUUAUAAAAUUGAAAUUUAAAAACUGAUAGUAUAGAAUAAAUUAUAAUAUCAAUAAAGUCUUAAUUCAUUUAUACAUCAAAAACAAUGUAAAAAUGGCUCAUUUUGGGAUAAAGUUCACAAAUGUAUUCUUUAAAAAGAAUGCUAUAAGGGAAAUGAUAUUUGGGUAAGCUUUCUAAGCUGAUCAUUAGGUAAAUGUUCCUUGAGAAGUACCCAAAACCACAGCUGGAAAUUCUUGCUCUAUUUUCUCUUUAUCCUGACUAAGACUUAAGGGAUCAUACAGAAUGCACCCCAUUCCCUCCAACUGAAAGGAUAACAGCUCCAGCAGACAAGUACACAAAGGGGGUUAGACAGGUGACUUGUUUGUCAAAAUGCUUGCAGCGUAAGUAAACAUGGGGACUCAAGUUCAUGUUCUCCUCACUCUUGUUGAAGCUGGUUGCAGUGACAUAUAGCCAACUCCAGUGCUGGAGGCAGCAGAAGGCGGGAAGGUGGAGAUGGGCAGGUCCCAGGCACUCCCUGGCUAGCCAGUUUAGCUGGAACAGUGAGAUCCAGGUUUAGAGAGAGAGAGAUUGUCUCGCAAAAAGUACGAUGGGGGGGGGGGGGGAGGGGGGCUUAGGUGAUGGUUGAGUCAGCAAAGCACUUACCAGACAAGCAGCAGGGCUGAGAUGCCUAGCUGGCCACACAUAUCUGUAACCUCAGCUUUGGUGGGGAAAAGGAAACAGAGACAGGUAAAUCCUGAGAGCUCAUUGGCCAGCCAGCCCCAGCCAAGCUGAUAAGUUCCAGGGUCAGUGACAGAUCAUAUCCCAAAAGAUCGGAUGGAAAACAAUAGAGGAAAACACCCCACACAUGCAUCGCUCACCACACCAACAUAUAUACAACACACAAGCACACACACAUCACCAUUAGUGGGGAGUGACAGAAAAACUGGUGUCACACUUUCAUGCCUGGGCUCCACAAGCGCCCAACACUCUCCUCCCCUCCUCUCCUUCUCACCCCAGUUUUUUUACUUUUGGAAAUACAAUGACUCUGCUGUAUAGCUACUCGGUUACAUUAAACUUUCCCUCCCUCCAGUUUUAAGUUCUGAUGAACCUUCAGUUGCCAUCAGGAUUGCAGGAUACGUAGGUGCAUGGUGUGAAGAUAAAGAUAAACUUUACAAAGCCAGGGUUUCUAUCAGGUAGGGCUCUAGGAUAAGCAAACCAGUGCACAGGACAUUUACAACAUGCAUUUCUUCUGCCGUCAGUAAGAACAGAAGCCCAUAUCUGUGCACUGUGAGGAGCUCUGGGCCACAGUGCAGGAUUCCUGAGGCCAUUUCCAUUUUCAUCCAGAGACACUGGUGAUUUAACUGGAGAAAAUGCUGUCGGUGAUGAGGAAGAACUCAAGGGCAGGUUCUGAGUGUAUCUGAGUGCCUGAGAAGGACCCAUGAAAGAAUAAUUAAAGAGAAAACUUAAAAUGGGCUCAUUAAAACUUAUAAUGUAUGCUUUAAAAAGCUUAAGAACGUGUGUUUAUUAUUAAGGAGACAAAAGGUCAGGUUACAAAGUAAAACAGUUAUAUUAGUUAUAUUAAUGUCUGGAUUAGAAGUCACAAUAUAUAGACUCGAUGAUACAAAUAUACAGACACAAUUUAAAAUAAAUAAACCCACAAAAAAACUUCACAAAACAAGACAUGUAGCAUAAACACUGGACAGUGGUUAGUGUCACUGAAGAAAAGCUACCAAAACCAGAGAGGCACUGACGCACAGGCAUGAACACCAGAUAGAGGUGAGGGUGAAGGCAGCAUGCACGCCCACAGGAGGAACAUGGCAUACCUGUGGGAAGCAGCCAAAUGUGCAUGUCUCCUAUGACCUGAUAAAUCUAUCCCUGAAAGUGUCAAGAACAAAAACCACACCAUAAAAGGAUGCCUGUAAGAGCAAUUACACAGUAACCUUAUUUCCAACUUCAAACUGGAAACAAUCUAACUCCACCAUGGAAGAAGCAACAGGCAUGUUCCAAACAUGGCACAUCACUCACCAGUAUAAAGGACAGAUGCUGAUAAUCAGAUGGACGGAGAUGCCUCUUAAAACAGCACAGCAGGUGAUCAAAACAAAACUUACAGCAUGCACUAUGAUUCCAUUUGUAAUCCCAUUAGAUAGUAACAGAAAAAAGAACAGCAGUUGUCUAUGGAAGGUGUGGAGGUCUGAAUGAAAAUGGCUCCCAUAGGCCCACAGGAGGUGUGGCCUUGUUGGAGUAGGCGGGUCUUUUGUCUGAGAAAGUGUGUUACUUAGGGUGACGUUUGUGGUCUCAGAUGCUUCAGCCAGGCUUAGUGUUUUACUCAGUUCCUGCUGCUUUUGGACCCAGAUGUAGAACUCUCAGCUCCUUCUCUAGCAUCAUGACUGCUUGCAUGCUGCCAUGCUUCCUGCCAUGACGACAAUGGACUAAACCUCUGAAUAAGCCAGCCCCCAGUUAAAUGUUUUCCUUUAUAAAAGCUGCCAUGAUCCUGGAGUCUCUUCACAGCAAUAGAUCUCUAAGACAGGGACUGAGUGAAAGGCAGUUGUGGAAUGGUGAGCAGUGAGGACGUGUUCUACAUCUUGAUUGGCAUGUUAGGUAUAUGUGAAUGUGCAUUUGCCCAAAAUCUCCAACACACACCCUUUAUUAUUUUUGUUUUACAAUGGUUUGGUAGUCUGUUUUAUGUUGCUAAGAACACAAGACUAAACAAGUAAUAACGACCUUUGGUUCACAGUUUGGAGGCUAAGCAAGGCAAGAGGCUGACAGAUGAGGAAAGGCUAGCUACUCGAUGUAAUAUGGCAAAGGGUACCAAUUGUGUAAGAGUUCUCUGAAACCUUAUCAGACAAGCUUCUGUUUGUAUUAUGUGGCAGUAAAUAUGAAGGCCCACAACUGAUCAAGGUUGUGGACAAGGUUGUGAGAAAUCACGGACAUACACGCAGGAACUCACCACACACAGACAGACACACUCAAUCUCAGGGCUAUCCUAGAAUGGGGGCAGGAAGAUCUUAAGAGCCAGAGGCAGUGGAUAUUUUCCACACACAGGGAAACUACACAUAUGACUUCACAGCACAUACAUGCUCAAGCUAGGCAAAACCUCAGAGUGGAAAGAGAAGGUGGGCAAGAUGUCCCAUCCAUAGAUCCAUAGCUGAAGAACUAUUAGUAAUGAGAGAGAGGGAAAGGUAGUUUUCUCUAAGGGCGUGGCCUCUGGUAGGUCAACCACACUCCAGCGACUGUCACACACUCAGCAGUACACUGGCAGCCCAUCCUGAACCUACAGGUUACAAACCAUGACGACACAGGGUCGGUACCGAGGAUGGGAGCUAGGGCUGUGGCCAUGCUACGUAUGUACUCCACUGAUCUACUUACUCCAUCAUCGCAGUAUUUAAAUUCAAGAGUAAAAGCAACCUCCUCAAAGUUGACAGAGCUCUGCUUCGGUGGAAAGCUGGCAGCCCUGGGCUCUCAGGAAGACGGCAUGCUCUCUGAGGCUAUCUGGAGGGUGUGCUUCUGUCACACUCUUGUUAAGAGAAGCAACUCUAGAACCGUGUUCCUUCCCCUUCUGCGGGCUUAGCGACUGUUUGGGGGAAAUCAUUACACGGAAGCAGGAAACAGAAUCCAAAGCUGAGUUUCGGAAUAGGACGCUUCUUUCUCUUACACAUCUCCGUUAUUCUCAGUAGCUAUUAAAAAAGCCUAGCAUUUUACAGUCAC